AUGCUACUUCUACUGCUGCUGACUGUUUUCAUCUCUUUUCUUCCGACAUUCUCAUGCCUACUCAUGGGAGAGUUUAGGACCGAUGUGGAGUACUUUGGAAAUAGUGUGCAGGACUGUUCCAAGAACUGCAGCUCAGUUCAUAUUCUUGAUGGAACCUGCAAGUGUUUGAACCUCAGCAAGUCGGCAGAGAAUUGUACCUCGAAUAAAUAUCCCAUUGAUGCCCUGAACGACCUGCACCACGAUAUUCGCAGUCAAGAAUACGCCGAAGCUCUGAUCCACAGACUGGGACAACUCCCUUUCACUAAUUUUUCUAUGAACUUCUGUUCCCUGCCUUCAAUUAUCUCACCAAAAACCCUUUAUGAGAAACUGAAAUUGCUUGGUGAAGAAGAUAGGAAUCUUGUGUGGAUUAUGUUGUCAAUUUCAGUCUAG
ensembl:lncRNA